CACGUAGGGGGCAAGCGUUGUCCGGAUUCAUUGGGCGUAAAGAGCUCGUAGGCGGUUCGAUAAGUCGGGUGUGAAACCUCCAGGCUCAACCUGGAGACGCCACCCGAUACUGUCGUGACUAGAGUCCAGUAGGGGAGCGUGGAAUUCCUGGUGUAGCGGUGAAAUGCGCAGAUAUCAGGAGGAACACCAGUGGCGAAGGCGGCGCUCUGGGCUGGCACUGACGCUGAGGAGCGAAAGCGUGGGGGGCGAACAGG
rnacentral:rRNA from 1 species